rnacentral:rRNA from 1 species
CAAUAGCGUGUGUUAAAGUUGUUGCAGUUAAAAAGCUCGUAGUUGGAUUUCUGGUGGGAGCGAUCGGUCUGGCGCUUAGCGCGAGUACUUGCAUCGUCUCCGGCCAUCCUUGGGGAGAGUCUGUCUGGCAUUAGGUUGUCGGGCAGAGGAUCCUCAUCGUUUACUGUGAAAAAAUUAGAGUGUUCAAAGCAGGCUUAUGCCGUUGAAUACAUUAGCAUGGAAUAAUAAGAUAGGACUUUGGCACUAUUUUGUUGGUUUGCGCACCAAAGUAAUGAUUAAUAGGGACAGUUGGGGGUAUUCGUAUUCCGUUGUCAGAGGUGAAAUUCUUGGAUUUACGGAAGACGAACUACUGCGAAAGCAUUUACCAAGGAUGUUUUCAUUAA